UUUUCGCUUUUUAUGGGUUCAAAUUUCAGUCACGGGGGCAUUUUGGGCAUUAGGACCAUAUCUCUAAUCUCCCACUGCCUCUGCCCGCGGAUGCCAUAGCCGAGGCUCAUCAGAGCUUUCACUUCCCAGUGAAAAUGCCCCCAAUUGUAUCGUCUCCUUGCCUCCAGCUAUCCCCCUUUUCAACGUUAUUCCCUAAAUUUUCCCAACCUUCCUCACAAAGUUACGACGCCGCCCAGCCAUGCCUGCCGGAGAAGAAAAUCACUGCCCGAAUCUACUGCGUUUCAGCCCGACCCAAGAGGAAGCCGGGUCCGAGAAACGACAAGUCAGAGGCAGAAAAUUUGGUUCGUAUUAUUGUGAGGAAGCUCAGCGAGAAGAGGCCCGUGGUGUCGACGCUGAACACGUUCGUUAAGGUUGUUCGAACUGAGCACUGUUUUCUUUUGUUUGAAGAGUUCGGAAAGCAUGAUAAUUGGCUUCAAUGCCUCGAGAUAUUCAGAUGGAUGCAGAAACAGCGCUGGUAUAUAGCAGAUAAUGGCAUUUAUUCAAAACUAAUAUCAGUUAUGGGAAAAAGAGGCAAAACCCGGAUGGCCAUGUGGCUCUUCUCUGAGAUGCGAAAUAGUGGUUGCCGACCUGACACUUCCGUAUACAAUGCACUCAUCACAGCUCACCUCCACUCCCGAGACAAAUCCAAGGCUUUAGCCAAAGCUCUAACAUACUUUGACAAGAUGAAGGCAAUGGACCGAUGCCAACCCAAUGUUGUGACUUAUAACAUUCUUUUGAGAGCUUUUGCUCAAGCCCGAAACAUAGAUCAAGUUAAUACCUUGUUUAAAGAUCUCCAAGAAAGCAUCAUUUCCCCUGAUAUUUAUACAUAUAAUGGUGUCAUGGAUGCCUAUGGGAAGAAUGGGAUGAUUGUGGAAAUGGAAUCCACCCUUUCCCGCAUGAAAAGUAAUCAGUGUAAGCCUGACAUCAUCACGUUUAAUUUGCUGAUUGAUUCAUAUGGCAGGAGGCAUGAAUUUGAAAAGAUGGAACGAGUAUUUAAGAGCUUAUUACACUCAAAGGAGAAACCAACACUGCCUACGUUUAAUUCAAUGAUCACAAAUUAUGGAAAAGCACGAUUGAAAGAGAAAGCUGAGAGUGUUUUUCAACAGAUGACUGAUAUGGGAUACAGCCCAGGGUUCAUCACGUAUGAAUGUCUUAUCAUGAUGUAUGGGUUCUGUGACUCUGUUUCAAAGGCUAGGGACAUAUUUGAUGGGAUUAUGGAUUCUGGGAAGGAGGUGAAAGUUUCAACACUAAACACUAUGCUUGAUGCCUAUUGUAUGAAUGGUUUACAAAGGGAAGCACACAUGCUUCUUGAGAGUGCCUACAACAAUGGGAUAAUUCCAAAUUCUUCAACAUAUAAACUUCUUUAUAAGGCAUACACCAAAGCCAACAUGAAAGAGCUUAUAGAGAAAUUGAUGAAACGUAUGGACAGAGACGGUAUUGUCCCUAACAAGAAAUUCUUCCUGGAUGCCCUGGGAGCAUUUGGGUCUACGCCAGCAACUCCAAUGUCUGCUAGUGGUGCCAAAGUUUUGAGCAGCCCUGCAGAUUCUAGGAAGACAUAGCUGGAUGGAUUGGUAUGUUGGUCCAUAUUCUCUUCCAAUAUUUUUCAGUUAAGAUGAGUUUCAGAGCAAGAUCAAGUCCUGAGGCGUGGUGUAGUAGACUUUUGGGAGUUCAAGACUCUGAAUCUGAGCUUCAGCGUCAAUUAUAUUUUGCUAUGUUAUGUGCCUUGAGCUUGUUCUUGUGACGGGGGGAAGUCGAUGCUUCAGCGAGUGGUUGACAACAACAGAUCUGUGCGGAACUGGUUUACAUUUCAGUCAUCCAACCGUGCUUUAUUAUUUACCAACCUUCUCCCAACCAAGAAAAAAACAAGGUUAUGGUUGCACUUCUAAAUUGCAGAUUAGUACAAAUUAAAUGAUAACAGUUGUGAAAAAAGCCUACCCUGCAAUGCAAUUUUUCCCCUGCUACAGCUUUCGGCAUGGUGUUACUGAUAUGAGGUAAGAGUAGAGAAAGGAAACAAUUUGGCACUACUAAUGUAAGUUAAAGUUGUUGACCUACAAUUGUAUGUUUUUUAUGAUAUGAUAAAUUCUAGUAGGUUCCAUUGUUCCA